UACGAAGGGGGGCUAGCGUUGUUCGGAAUUACUGGGCGUAAAGCGUGCGCAGGCGGCUUCUCAAGUCAGGGGGUGAAAGCCCAGAGCUCAACUCUGGAAUUGCCUUUGAGACUGAGUGGCUUGAGUACGAGAGAGGUGAGUGGAAUUCCCAGUGUAGAGGUGAAAUUCGUAGAUAUUGGGAAGAACACCGGUGGCGAAGGCGGCUCACUGGCUCGUAACUGACGCUCAUGCACGACAGCGUGGGGGAUCAAAACAGG
rnacentral:rRNA from 1 species